rnacentral:rRNA from 1 species
UACACUCCUACGGGAGGCAGCAGUGGGGAAUUUUGGACAAUGGGCGAAAGCCUGAUCCAGCCAUGCCGCGUGCAGGAUGAAGGCCUUCGGGUUGUAAACUGCUUUUGUACGGAACGAAACGGCCUUUUCUAAUAAAGAGGGCUAAUGACGGUACCGUAAGAAUAAGCACCGGCUAACUACGUGCCAGCAGCCGCGGUAAUACGUAGGGUGCAAGCGUUAAUCGGAAUUACUGGGCGUAAAGCGUGCGCAGGCGGUUAUGUAAGACAGUUGUGAAAUCCCCGGGCUCAACCUGGGAACUGCAUCUGUGACUGCAUAGCUAGAGUACGGUAGAGGGGGAUGGAAUUCCGCGUGUAGCAGUGAAAUGCGUAGAUAUGCGGAGGAACACCGAUGGCGAAGGCAAUCCCCUGGACCUGUACUGACGCUCAUGCACGAAAGCGUGGGGAGCAAACAGGAUUAGAUACCCCGGUAGUCCCA